UUUUUUUUAAGCAAAGCGAGGAGUUUUCCAGUUUUGGAGGAUCAGUCAGUCAGGAAAGAAUUCUUCUGGACAGGAUUGUUAAGACUAAAGAUGUCGUUAAAGAGACGACUGCUGUCCAUGUUGUUGUGCUGUGUUUACUGCAUGGCCUCGCUCUUCUGCCUCCACCCAAACCGCAACAACUGCUUCUCCAUCGGAGCUCGGAAUCUGGUGUCAGUCGUCCAGCAGCUUUACCAGCGUGUCAUUCGACUGCUGCGCACCACUCUCUGAUCCACAGCGCUUCCAGUGUUUAAACCAAUCACUCCGGACCUGUAUUGCCACUGUGGCAGAUGUGGCUGUUUUCGAACAUGCCCUCCGGUAGUGCAUCGCCAACUAAAAAGAAGAAAAAGAAGAAAGAGGAAUGGUGUCACUCCACUCUUGGACUGUGAAGUUUCCACCAAUUGCCCUGCUGUGUUCACCACUGCAUUACUCUGGCUGUAGAUGAGGAGGCGACAAGCAUGUGAAAACAUUUUUUUUUACUCAAGUAGAUUGUGGGUAUCUGCUGUGUGAGAUGUGAGUGAGGUGGAAAAUACAGUUUUGUUUUAAAUGCAUUUUGAGGGUUCAGUGCAAUCGUGAAGGCUCAAGAAACAGGCUCGUAACCAUGAGGUUGCUGGUUGAAAUUCAUGGACACGAUGGCAGUAUUGUUGUAAUAUAUGAAGGUGCAAAAUUCAAAAUCUUCCCUUCAUUAAUAACCGUCACAAAGCUGACCCUGAGCAAGGCAGAAAGCUUUCAUUGUGGCUGCGCUGUAGAGGGAAGCAGCACCUGUGGUCUGAGUGUGAAAGCUGUUCAGACAGAAGCUUGUAACAGACAUAUUAGGGUACUCUCGUACCCAGUCUGACACAGUAUAUUGGACCCAGCUUGAGUAGGAAGAGGACCUGUGAAGACCUCUACUUAAGUACACAUAUUCCACAUCAACACUUGCCUUGUGCCCUUGCAAGUAACACAGUACAAACAUGUGUUUUUAGCUCCCUGUGGAGCUGAAAGAGCUCUACGAGGGUAAUACAGCAAGAGACACGUCAAAUUCCACCACAGGGAAAGAGAAACCACACACAUCAGAUGAGACACAUUUGCCUUGUUGUUGCUAUAAUGCCCUUAACUAUGUGAGAGAAACUACAGCUUAUGGUUACAUAAUAAGAAUCUAAGGUGUCAUAUUUCUGAAGGCAACUGUGCUAAUGUAUCUUUGCAUAACUAGAAACAUCCUCAAUUGUUUUUGUAUGUAGGGCUUAAAAAGUAUUUUAGGCUAAAAUGCUACAUAUAGGACAUAAACAGGCUGCAGCUGAAAUGUUGAUUUAUGACAUUGCAGGUAAUAUAUAAUAACAGUACACUGAAGGGGGAGAUGGGGAGACUUCAAACAUCUAGUAGCAGAGAGGCCAUAGCUUAUGUUAUUGAGACAGUGCUCUAUAUAGAAUCAGUUUUACUGCUAUGUAGUUGCCUGGGUGACAAGUCCUCACAUGACACAUGUCACUGCAUAUGCGCUGAUCGGGGAGCUCAACAGCAGGAUGAAGACACGUCUGCAGCACUUUAAUUGUUGGUUGUCCCAAAUAAUAAUAAUUUAAAAAAAAAAAAAAAACAUAUUUUCUCACUUACUUACAGUGGUAGCAUGCAGAUACUGUUGUUUUGGUCAAUGCGGGUUUUCAUUUUGUGAGAUUUGUGUCUCUAUGCCAGUGCAAUAGAGGUGAAUGGAAUUUAGUUUGUGGUGCUAACAGCAAUAAAAAAAACUACAUAGAAGAAUUCCACAGCAAAAUGUAUUUCCAAUAUCCUUGUUACUCCGGAUAAUUCACGGAACACAAUGGUUUUCAUAGGGACUAUUAUUUAGUAGAAAAUAGUUUCAUUGAAAAUGAUUCACACAGAACUCACAGUGAGAAUGCUUGUCAGGAAAACCUAAACAUGGGUCAUGUUUAGUAAUUGAACAAGAAAUGGUGAAGUUUUGUUUUUCUGGGGACAGAUCAAGAUGGAAGGAUGGUGCAAUAAAAAUCAACACGUUUAGUCUUAUCAGGCUAAGAGCCGCUGGUCUGAAUUUGAAUUGAAUUGUGUUUGUAAAAUGU